AUACGUAGGUGACAAGCGUUAUCCGGAUUUACUGGGCGUAAAGGGCGUGUAGGCGGUCUUGCAAGUCAGAAGUGAAAUUCCUGAGCUCAACUCGGGCGCUGCUUCUGAAACUGCAGGACUUGAGUGCUGGAGGGGAUAGCGGAAUUCCUAGUGGAGCGGUAAAAUGCGCAGAUAUUAGGAAGAACACCGGUGGCGAAGGCGGCUAUGUGGACGGUAACUGACGCUGAAGCGCGAAAGCGUGGAGAGCAAACAAGAUAAAAUACCCGGGUAGUCCACGCCGUAAACUAUGAAUACUAGGUGUAGGGGGUAUCGACUCCCUCUGUGCCGCAGUUAACACAAUAAGUAUUCCGCCUGGGGAGUACGGCCGCAAGGUUGAAGCUCAAAGGAAUUGACGGGG
rnacentral:rRNA from 1 species